CCCCCUUAAGAACAUUCGUCCCCGAAUGUUCCUUAACUAGCACAUAGCAUGGCAUACACAUAUCAUACAUACAAAACACAUAAAACUCACAAGGGACUAACCUCAGAAAAGAUAAGGGUAUUGCUGGAGCAUGGACUCCCGUGUCUCCCAAGUGCAUUCCUCCAAAUUGUGGUGGUUCCAAAGGACUUUCACCAUCGGGAUUUCCUUGUUCCUCAAUUUUCUGAUCUGGGUGUCCAGGAUCCGUACUGGCUGUUCAACAUAAGUGAGAUUCUCUUGAAUCUCCACAUCUGGCUCACUAAGAACCUUGCCCGGAUCUGACACAAACUUCCUCAACAUAGAAACAUG
rnacentral:lncRNA from 1 species